CCACUUUCAGCAGCACACAUGCUACAAAUGUACAAUACAGAGAAUGUCAGCAUGGCCCCAGCACAGGAUUGACAUGCAAAUUUGUGGCAUGUUCCUUUUUUUU